rnacentral:rRNA from 1 species
UACGUAGGGACCAAGCGUUGUUCGGAUUUACUGGGCGUAAAGGGCGCGUAGGCGGCAAUUCAAGUCAGCCGUGAAAUCUCCGAGCUUAACUCGGAACGGUCAGCUGAUACUGUUUUGCUAGAGUGCAGAAAGGGCAACCGGAAUUCUUGGUGUAGCGGUGAAAUGCGUAGAUAUCAAGAGGAACACCUGAGGCGAAGGCGGGUUGCUAGGCUGACACUGACGCUGAGGCGCGAAAGCUAGGGUAGCAAACGGG